GACGAACGCUGGCGGCGUGCCUAAUACAUGCAAGUAGAACGCUGAAGGAGGAGCUUGCUUCUCCGGAUGAGUUGCGAACGGGUGAGUAACGCGUAGGUAACCUGCCUGGUAGCGGGGGAUAACUAUUGGAAACGAUAGCUAAUACCGCAUAACAGUAGAUGUUGCACGACAUUUGCUUAAAAGGUGCAAUUGCAUCACUACCAGAUGGACCUGCGUUGUAUUAGCUAGUUGGUGAGGUAACGGCUCACCAAGGCGACGAUACAUAGCCGACCUGAGAGGGUGAUCGGCCACACUGGGACUGAGACACGGCCCAGACUCCUACGGGAGGCAGCAGUAGGGAAUCUUCGGCAAUGGACGGAAGUCUGACCGAGCAACGCCGCGUGAGUGAAGAAGGUUUUCGGAUCGUAAAGCUCUGUUGUAAGAGAAGAACGAGUGUGAGAGUGGAAAGUUCACACUGUGACGGUAUCUUACCAGAAAGGGACGGCUAACUACGUG
rnacentral:rRNA from 1 species